ACAUUCCGACAGGGGAGCGCGACAGCGCUGAGAGUGCGGCACGGCCGCAGACCCUCCAACCUGAUCCGGGUCAUACCGGCGUAGGGAGUCAGCCUCACCAUGAA
rnacentral:ncRNA from 2 species